CACGCUGACAUCUCACUAGGCUUGAGGUCUAGAGUUCGAUUCCCCUACAUUUCUAAAAGUUUUGAAGACUUUUUACUUCUAUCCCCAAAUCACACACCGAUUGAAGAAACAAAAACCUCCCAGCGCCAAAGCGCCAAAUCUUUCCUGUUCAUCUUAAGUUUCCCUCUACAAUUUUUGAGUAUCCCCAAAUCUUCUCUCUGCAACACUUGAGAUUUGAACCCAAAUGGCAAUAUACCAAAUUCAUUUUCCCUCUAAUCCUAUUCACUUCAUCAAACCUAACAUUCAUAUUUGUGAGCAGAAAAGAAAAAAACUUACCUUCCUCUCUGAUCAUACGAACACCGAUUAUCCAAGCCUCUGGGUUACCUCCGCUUUGAGUACGCAAAGUUCUCGUAAGAUGACUUGAUUGUUAAGAACUGGUGAACACGCUUACAAAGAUGAAGUAGUUUGUACGAUCAAUUUUGAAAUUGCAUCUUGGUUGGUGGCAUUCAGAGGAAUUUAGAUUACGAGAAUCUUUCCAUAAAAUUUUCUGGAGCAAACUUUGAUUGGAUUGGAAAGAAUGGAUAGAGCUUGGAUCAAAAUGGAUAGGAGAUCACAUGAGUAUGAGGUCGGGGUUGAUAUGUUCUUAGAUUUUGUUAGUCGUCAUGCGAGUGAUCCUAACCAGAUUCGUUGUCCGUGCUUGGAUUGUGGGAAUGUUAAACCUGGUACAAUUAGGACGAUAAAAGAUCAUCUAUUUUGCAUUGGUAUCAUUAAUACCUAUGAUGUUUGGUAUUAUCAUGGAGAAGAUGUUCCAAGUUCAAGUAGUACAAAUGUGAAGAGCUCCAAUUAUAAGGAAGACCAUUUUAGAGACAAUACUGUAGAGAUGGUUCAAGCUGCACAUGAGUUAGUAAUCCAGAAAAGUUUGAGCAGUUACUUGUUGAUGCUGAGAAACCAAUCUACCCUGGUUGUGUAAAGUUUUCAAAGUUAUCAACUCUUGUGAGAUUGUACAACAUGAAAGCAAAGGGUGGGUGGCCUGAUGUUAGUUUCUUAGAACUAUUAACUUUCUUGGAGGAGUUACUUCCAGCCAACAAUGAAAUGCCAUUGAAACUUUAUGAAAGACUUGAAAGACUUGAAAUAGCAUUGAAAGACUUUCAAAACCUUCAAACCAAGGCCUUGAAGAGUUUCAAAACAAGGUUACUUACUGCAAUACAGCACCAUGUGAAUCUGGUUAGAGGGAAGAAAAGAUGCUGAUAUAUGAGUACACACCAAACAAAAGCUUGGAUCACUACGUCUUUGGUGGAGGUCUGUCAAUAUCUUGCAUCGGCUUUUGUUCUGGCAUGUAUUAACUUGCAAAAAUCCAGGAAGCACCCUAUAUCUUUCUUUUACAAUUUCAAUUCACCAAAGCAGAGUAGUAUAAUACUUGAAUGUGACUGCCUUGGCUCCUUCUCUCUUUGAUCCAGCAUGGUGAUGAUAACAAUUGCAGAAGUAGUGCUGCUUGCAUACUGUCAUGCAGAUUUAACUUUUCUCAAUCAUUUUUAUAUAUCUGUGUAGGAUAGGAUGCGUAUGAAGACCAAUGUUGCGAUAAGGGUUCUCUCAUGCAAUGUAAUUCGGAAUCAAGAUUUCUAGUUGAAUACGGUUGCUGGUACCAUGUCUCCCUUUGAACAUGGCGAGUUUUUUGUUCUUGAUGAUGGUGGAGAGGUCUUAUCACUGACAACUUGUAGUGCAGUAAGCUAAGCCUUAAACAUACCAUACAUGCUAACUAAGAAACUUUUCACUGACAAUCUCUUAUUGUUUUUACUUUUGAAAAUCCUUUCGGUGCAGGUAAUUGUUCCCUGUCAUGUUUCUUCAAACUGCAUCAAAGGUAGUGGAUGAAGAUAUUGGAGAUGAUGAAACCAAGUUUUGUGCCUCUAUAGUCAUCUAAGAUCACAUAGGAUAUCAACAUGCAAUAAGGAAUUAUUUAGUUGGUUUUAAUUGUAGCUUAGUUAACUAUUGUCAUCUAGGAUUAGAUAAGAUUAGAAGGUAUAGCUAGGAAUUAGUUACUAGAAUGUGCUUGUAGUCAAGUAUAUUGUAAUGAGUAAUAGAUACAAUGACAUUUGUUUUGGGAUUGUAAAGAUUAUUUGUAUGUAAAUGUCUUCUUUUUUUUUCAAGGACUUUUUUUUUUUGUGUUC